CUCGGAGAAAUUCUCCUCCGCGGCAGCAGCGAGUCUCUCCCUGAUGAACUCUCUCAGAGGCUGAACGGAACACAUUGCUGCUGACAGUUCAUGUCAGCCAGUGUUUCUCAACCUGCUUUGGGACAGCGCCCCCUAUCCAUCAUCCAGGUCCCUCUCCGCCCCCACCAAAGAAGAUACUUUUCACACCAGAAUCUCUGAUCCUGAUUCACAUCUGGUGUCGCUCCAGUUCUCCUGUUUCUGAGUUUUGCAACAAGUGAGUCACAGCAAAGCCGUUAGCCGGGGGCAACGCUAAGCUGAUGCUUCCAGUAGCAGGAGCUGCGCCAAGAAGCUAACAGAAGCUAACAGAAACUAAGGGAAGCUAACAGAAGCUAACAGAAACUAAGGGAAGCUAACAGAAGCUAAGGGAAGCUAACAGAAGCUAACAGAAACUAAGGGAAGCUAACAGAAGCUAACAGAAACUAAGGGAAGCUAACAGAAGCUAAGGGAAGCUAACAGAAGCUAACAGAAACUAAGGGAAGCUAACAGAAGCUAAAAGAAACUAAGGGAAGCUAACAGAAGCUAAGGGAAGCUAACAGAAGCUAACAGAAACUAAGGGAAGCUAACAGAAACUAAGGGAAGCUAAUAGAAGCUAAGGGAAGCUAACAGAAACUAAGGGAAGCUAGCAGAAGCUAACAGAAACUAAGGGAAGCUAACAGAAGCUAACAGAAACUAAGGGAAGCUAACAGAAAAUAAGGGAAGCUAACAGAAUCUAACAGAAACUAAGAAGCUAACAGAAAGUAAGGGAAGCUAAUAGAAACUAAGGGAAGCUAACAGAAGCUAAUAGAAGCUAACAGAAACUAAGGGAAGCUAACAGAAGCUAACAGAAACUAAGGGAAGCUAACAGAAACUAAGGGAAGCUAACAGAAACUAAGGGAAGCUAACAGGAGCUAACAGAAACUAAGGGAAGCUAACAGAAACUAAGGGAAGCUAACAGAAGCUAAGGGAAGCUAACAGAAACUAACGUAAGCUAACAGAAGCUAACAGAAACUAAGGGAAUCUAACAGAAGCUAACAGAAACUAAGGGAAGCGAACAGAAACUAAGGGAAGCUAACAGAAGCUAAGAGAAACUAAGGGAAGCUAAUAGAAGCUAACAGAAGCUAACGGAAACUAAGGGAAGCUAAUAGAAGCUAACAGAAGCUAACAGAAACUAAGGGAAGCUAACAGAAGCUAACUGAAACUAAGGGAAGCUAAUAGAAGCUAACAGAAACUAAGGGAAGCUAAUAGAAGCUAAUAGAAGCUAACAGAAACUAAGGGAAGCUAACAGAAACUAAGGGAAGCUAACAGAAACUAAGGGAAGCUAAUGGAAGCUAACAGAAACUAAGGGAAGCUAACAGAAGCUAAUAGAAGCUAACAGAAGCUAACAGAAACUGAGGGAAGCUAACAGAAACUAAGGGAAGCUAACAGAAGCUAAUAGAAGCUAAUAGAAACUAACAGAAACUAAGGGAAGCUAACAGAAGCUAAGGGAAGCUAACAGAAACUAAGGGAAGCUAACAGAAGCUAAUAGAAGCUAACAGAAGCUAACAGAAACUAAGGGAAGCUAACAGAAACUAAGGGAAGCUAACAGAAGCUAAUAGAAGCUAAGGGAAGCUAACAGAAGCUAACAGAAGCUAACAGAAACACUGAAGAGGAGUUGCCAUGGAUACAGUUGCAACAUGUUUUAUUGUUACACGCCUCAGUUUUUAGCAUGUAGCUUAGCGUCUAGCCUGGUCUUGUUGUGCAUAAGGUGUAAAGUUUACCUCCAAGCAAACGACCCCAAAGGAAUCGCAGCGCCCCCUAUAUGUAAAUAUUUCUGCCAGCGCCCCCUAUAUGUUAAUAUUUCUGCCAGCGCCCCCUAUAUGUUAAUAUUUCUGCCAGCGCCCCCUAUGUGUUAAUAUUUCUGCCAGCGCCCCCUAUAUGUUAAUAUUUCUGCCAGCGCCCCCUGCCGCCCCGUUGAGAAACAUUACUCUAAGAUAAUAAAUCCUAGCAUUUGUAUUAAAUGCUUCCUCCCUGAUUCUGUGAUGCGUUUCAUAAAAAAAGAAAAAUGAUUAUUUGCCAAAGUUAUGGAGGAUAUUUCAGCGGCAGGCUGAACCUCCACCAGGGGGCAGCAAACAGGAACAAAUAUCCACCAAAACGCUGAAAUUUCUACAUUUAUUUCACAUUUUCAAUAGAAAACAAUGUUGAUAUUCUUUUAUCAUGAAUAGUUAUACAUUUGAGAUAUUUUUGAACUAUUAAAGGCAUAAAAUGACAACAUUAAAGUUGAUUUUAAAGUGCAGUAAAUGUGACAGAACAGCCAGAACUGUCAGGCUGAAGUUAAACAUUCAGGAGAUGAAGAACCGGGUCGGUUUCCUGGAUCAGAACCAGGAGGAGGAGCUGAUCUGUUCCUGAACUCAGAGACUCAAACUUCCUCCUUCAGUUCAAUUCAACUCUCCAACA